CUCUCUUUCCAUAUAGUCUACCAUAUACAUGUUAGGACCAUUUUCCAUCUCUCCUCCUUCACUGCAUCAACAUCUCUAUUCUAGCUUCUUAGCACUUCUUUAAUUUUCCUAGGUUUCACCCAAAAAUAAUAAAGGCGUAAGCAGUCUGUCUUGAUCUUCUGUAUAUUUCUCUGUUUGCCUUCAAAACACCUCUGAUUCCUCUCUUUCCUUAUAGUCCACCAUAUACAUGUUGGGACCAUUUUCCAUCUCUCCUCCUUCACUGCAUCAACAUCUCUAUUCCAGCUUCUUAGCACUUCUUUAAUUCUCCCAGGUUUCAGCCAUAUGAUCUUCCUCUCUUAUGGAUGAAAUUUGCCACAGCUGGUCUAUCCAUUUGCAGUGUAAGAAGAGGUGAUUGACCGUCUCAACCUGUU
rnacentral:lncRNA from 1 species